rnacentral:lncRNA from 1 species
UCACUCUAUUUGUAUUUGCCUUGAGGGGUCUGCUGGGUUGCAAGGAAUGGGCAACGUUUUGGAACAUUUUGCAUCCCUGACUUAUUGUAAUUAUGUUGCAGAAUCUCGUGCGGAACUUGAGAAAAAAUGAUGAAAUCUAUCAACGGAAAACCUAGCAUUAAGGCAGGAGCUGGAAGUUUUGAGACAUCAGCUGUCAGUAACUGAGCAACAAAUGGAUAUUUUGAAGGAUACUGCAGCAAAGUUGCAGAAUUUAAAUGUCAGUACAACCCUCGAUCAAAAAGUGGCUUACGAGGCUAAAGAUCGAGAAACAAUUGCCUUACGAGAACUGAACUUACAGAUCCAGAGAGAAAACAUGAAGUUAAACCGCCAACUUGAAGAAUUAAAGGGAAAUAAUAUUGCAAUUUUGGAAGGAGCAUCACAACUAAAAAGAAAAAAAGAAAAAAAAGACCAUAAUACAUCUGUCUUAAAACGUGAAUUUGAAAAUCUGAGAAAAGUCAUGCUGAAGUGAUGAAAAAAUGUGAUGCACACAAAGGACACGACCAAAAGACAAAGAUUAUUGCAGAAUGUCUUAGGAAAAAAUGCGACGCCCUUCAUCUCGAAAAUGAAAAGCUUCAAAAAGAAAAUGCAUUACUCUCAAGUGAAGUUCAGUUGCAGAGGAGAAAAUUAAAGCAAACUCUUGAUGCCAAAGGGACGAAAAGAAAUUAUUCAAUGGUAGAGGAACAAGUUAACUCCAAAUGUCAAGAGGAGCUAAAGCGCCAAAGUGAGAUCAAUAGCAAACUGCAAUUAACCGUAGCUGAAGCCAUUAAUAAAAACAAGAAAUUAAAACUGCAAAAGCAAGACCUAGAGGCAGAACUACUCAAAUACAAGGACAAGAAUUGAAUCGUCAUGAGCUGUCUUCCAAGAUGAAAUCAAUUCCUCAUGAAACUAUUUCCUCACUUCAUGUUUUUUCAGUCUUAAAAAAAUCACCCAAUUACUUUUGUAUGUUUAACCAAAGUUUCAAAGAUUUUAAUCUAUUUUUUCCCCUUGAGAUUUGAAAAAUCUGAAACUAAAACAAAACAUUAAAGAAGUAGAAACAUGAUUACUGAUUACAUUAAAAUUUUACAUACAUUUUUUGAUCAAAUGAAUCCACCUUAAAAAUGUGUAAUAAGUGCAUUGGAAAUAAUUCCUCAGAAAUACGAUAACUAACUUUAUUUAAUCUUAAUAACAUUUUGAGGAAAAGGGAGGGCACAAAAACUCAAGUUAUUGACUCUCUUGAUAUAAUAAAGGGGAGAUACCAACAUUCAAAGUUGGGCAAUAAGUAUCAUAGUUGUGAAAUUAUUCUAUUGAAAUUAUUAAGUCACAUAGGACUCAUCAAAAUCAGUUCUUGCUCCUAAUUUGAAAAUGAAAUCCUUGAUGAGCAUCGUCGGUCAUCUUCUUCACCAAGGGAUGCUAUGAGACCGUGUUAUUGUGAAGCCAGAGAGAGGAAAAUUCUGGUGCAGAUGGACACGCGACGGAAGACAUUUUAAAGCCUCAUUUGCCAACAGUGGCAUCUUGGCUCUGUUUAUCCAUGAAAGGUACUUUACCUACAAAAACGGGGGUUGAAAGAGAGAGUGAGUGUUAUCGUACUCAUCGAUUCACUUUAGGGGGAAAAACUGCUUUGGAUGAUUUCUUUUUAUUUGUGUGAGCUUCAAAAUUUUUGCGAACAAAAUUUGGGACCUUGGUGGUGACACCAAUCUCUGAUGUAAGUACACCACUGACUGUACUUCUUAUUUCCAAAAUAGGACUUAAUCCUUGAGUGAGAACAUUUUAUGAGCACCCUUGGCAUCCUCUAAAUAUCUUUGAAUACUUCAGGAGGAAAAUCUUCCCCAGAUUCAUAGAACAGUAUGCUUUGUAAAAUUCAGCUCCGAAGUGGUUUUACUUGGCUUUCUUUCACUCUACUCUGAUGCUAAAUUAAAUUAAAAUUGAGGAAAAUCUUAAAAAAUACUAGAGUUAUUUAGAAUCAACUGAACGACUUUAAUAAAAUCUGUUGGUACAAAGACAGCUUUGAAAGAGCUACAAUUGACAGGCCUCUUUUUUUGAUACUAGUCUCUGAGUUCGGAAAAUUGACAUACAAGUGAUGAGAAUAACAUGCAUUUAACUGCGUACAAAUUGAAUAGAAAUUCUUAUGAAUACUUAUUUGCUAACCUAAUAAGGCACUGGUAGGCUUACGUACAGAGCAACCUACCGGCUCAGCAUGGAAAGGUAAUUGUUGGAGUAAAAUUAUGUAUAUGUAAACAAAGAUGGUUGAGGAGUGACAUUGAUGCUCUUCAGUAGAAUAGAUUUUAUCAUUGAGUAGAGGAGUUACAUUGAGAAAAAGGAACACCAGUACUCCACAUUGAUGUAAUUCAAAAUUAAAAAUAUGCAUGCUUCCAAAACGCUCAACGUAACCACCAAUACUUAGGCCAGGUAUAUCUAGCUUCGCAGACAUAAGGGUACGUCUCUGUUACCUUGAGAUCUAGUUCAUUGACAGCAGCUAAAUUAUGAAAAAUUUUUUUAAAUUCAUUUCUACUAGCGUGCAUCCAACCUACCAAAAAAAUGUAUUUCCCCCAUAGGAGCACACUGCAAUAUGCUCUGUGCAUAUCUAAAUGAAAACAAUUAGUUGAGGUAUUAAAUUUUUGCUUAUAAAAUCAAUAUCCAAUGGUCACGGUAGGAGUCAACAAGCUAUAAAUUCGGAAAAUUCGUUGAAAUUCCGAAUUCAGUUCUCUGAUGACAUACAGCGAAAAUAUCUUUGAAAAAAAAAAUCACAUACAUGAAAAAUAAACCGGAAACAGAAACUAAUAGCAACCUGGGUGCGGGGGGGGGGAUCAUCAUAAUGAUGAUAGGGUAUGUAUCGCCAAAAUCUGGGAAGUAUUACAAAGGAAUUUUGAAUGAGUGGUUUUGGUACUUCCUAUUCUUAAGCAGGAGAUA